GACAGAGGAUGCAAGCGUUAUCCGGAAUGAUUGGGCGUAAAGCGUGCGCAGGCGGUCUUGCAAGACAGAUGUGAAAUCCCCGGGCUCAACCUGGGAACUGCAUUUGUGACUGCAAGGCUGGAGUGCGGCAGAGGGGGAUGGAAUUCCGCGUGUAGCAGUGAAAUGCGUAGAUAUGCGGAGGAACACCGAUGGCGAAGGCAAUCCCCUGGGCCUGCACUGACGCUCAUGCACGAAAGCGUGGGGAGCAAACAGG
rnacentral:rRNA from 1 species